rnacentral:rRNA from 1 species
UACGAAGGGGGCGAGCGUUGUUCGGAAUUACUGGGCGUAAAGGGCGCGCAGGCGGCUCUGAAAGUCAGAUGUGAAAGCCCCGGGCUUAACCUGGGAACUGCAUUUGAUACUCUAGAGCUUGAGUACGGGAGAGGAGAGUGGAAUUCCCAGUGUAGAGGUGAAAUUCGUAGAUAUUGGGAAGAACACCGGUGGCGAAGGCGGCUCUCUGGGCCGAUACUGACGCUGAGGAGCGAAAGCGUGGGGAGCGAACAGG